ensembl:lncRNA
GUAUCCCAUCCUGAAGUUAGGGCUUUGAUUCGGGAUCCAAAGACAUGUCUGAGAUCGAAGUGUGCACUAUGUAGGGAUGGGUUCUAUAGGUCCUGGUCUAAAGUAGUGUACUAUAUAGGGAAUAGGUUCUUAGGGUCCUGGUCUAAGUAGUGCACUAUAUAGGGAAUAGGUUCUAUAGGGCUCUGGUAAAGUAGUGCACUAUAUGGAAUAGGGUUCUUAGGGUCCUGGUCUAAAGUAGUGCCACUAUAUAGGGAAUAGGGGGCCGUCUUGGAUGUGAAGUCUAUGAGCUGUCGUCCUUGUCUGCCCGUGGAAUCACCAAGAUGAGGCAUCUCAAACAAUCAUUCAAGCAUUUUAUUGUGAUUCGACAAACACUGUAAAUAAAAACACAAGCAAAAAGGCAUAUAUUGGUAUUUGAUGUCUCUUGAAUAAAAAUAAAAAUUGUUCCAAACACCUCCCAAAGACAAGGAAAGAGAUCUCGACACCAAGGAAAAGAGAUCUCCGACACCCAAGGAAAAGAGAUCUCCGACCCCAAAAAGAGAUCCGACAACCCAAAGAAAAGAGAUCUCCGACACCCAAGGAAAAGAGAUCUCCGACACCCAAGGAAAAGAGAUCUCCGACACCCAAAGAAAAGAGAUCUCCGACACCCAAGGAAAAGAGAUCUCCGACACCCAAGGAAAAGAGAUCUCCGACACCCAAGGAAAAGGAUCUCCGACACCAAUGUUCCCUCAAAUUUUCAGCACUGACCACAAUUUCAGGUCUGCAGAGUCAAACUUGGAACGUUGUGAAAAUUCUGUACAACUUCCAGGGCAUGUCUACUGUGAACACAGAAACCACCUGCUUUAAGUUACAGUUUUUACUGUGAACACUGAGGCUGUACCCACUUUAGCUACAGUUUUACUGUGAACACUGAGGCUGUACCCACUUUAAGCUACAGUUUUACUGUGAACACAGGCUGUACCCACUUUAAGCUACAGUUUUACUGUGAACACUGGGCUGUACCCACUUUAAGUUACAGUUUUACUGUGAACACGAGGCUGUACCCACUUUAAGCUCAGUUUUACUGUGAACACAGGCUGUACCCACUUUAAGUUACAGUUUUACUGUGAACAACAGGCUGUACCCACUUUAAGUUACAGUUUUACUGUGAACACAGGCUGUACCCACUUUAAGUUACAGUUUUACUGUGAACACAGGCUGUACCCACUUAAGUUACACGUUUUACUGUGAACACUGAGGCUGUACCCACUUUAAGCUACCGUUUUACUGUGAACACAGGCUGUACCCACUUUAAGCUACAGUUUUACUGUGAACACUGAGGCUGUACUGCUUUAAGUUACCGUUUUACUGUGACACUGAGGCUGUACCCACUUUAAGCUACCGUUUUACUGUGAACACUGAGGCUGUACCCACUUUAAGUUACAGUUUUACUGUGAACACUGAGGCUGUACCCACUUUAAGCUACAGUUUUACUGUGAACACAGAAACCACCUGCUUUAAGUUACAGUUUUACUGUGAACACUGAGGCUGUACCUGCUUUAAGCUACAGUUUUAACAGUGGCCAAGCAGGCUACUGUGACUAUUUGAUCGUAAUGUAGUAGGCCUAUCAGAGUGGCCUACCAUCAAAAACAAUGGCGAAAAGGCAUCCCAUAAUAUUUUAACAUGGAAUUAGCUGUUCUAUCUUUCGGCCUACAGUAGCAGCCAUUGUGUGGUGUUCAGUGUAGGCCUACAUUCCAUCAGACUUCUGAAGAAAACAAACAUGCAGGGCUUAACAUUAAACCUGUUUAUCCACUUGUCCUUCAGACAAGGAUGUAACUGAAAAUGUUGUGGUGUUUGAUGCAAGAAACCACUUUCACAAAAUAAAAUGCAUUAUUCCCAUACUGUUAUUACAGAGAAUGAGCCACAUUAUUCUACCCUCUGCCUAUUGGCUACUUAGAUUUGAAUAAGCUGUCUCAAAAAUAGGCCUACUGCAGCUCUGAUUGGUUAUGAGUCGUGAGCAAUACAAUCCUACUCCUGAUGUGUUCUGCCUACAUCAACAUAUCUUGCAUAGUUUGUUUUGUUUAGGUAUGUUGCACUGAAAGUGGCUAAUAUUGCGUUGAUCACAAUUGCCACUGUAAAGGGAAACGUUAAUAGUGUUAACUAACGGGGAAGUUCAAUCUCGUGCUUCUCUGUGUGGGCUAAUAUUUCUAACGUGCUCUGCGUGGAUGUCCGGGGGGAGCUGCGCGGCAGUCUUGGGGUUACUGCGUGCGUGGUUAGUGGUAACGUUGCCGGCACCUCACUUUAUGCUACUUGAGUUCCUGUAUCUCUUAUAAAAUAUUGCAGUUCCGGCACAGAAACGUAAACUACCCCGCACCUAUAUUUCAGUUCGCGUCAAGGACUGAGCAUCCCUGUGGAAAUAAUUUAGACUAAUUCCAUGUUUACAAUAAUGCCUGGUGAAGAAAAUGAAUGAGAUGCAGGUGCUUUGAGUCCACUUCUAAAUGGGGAUGAGAUGUAAAUUCCAUUUGUGACCGCAUGAUGUCACCAAAGCCUAUGCUAUAGCCUCUUACGCAACAGAUGUAUCCGAGCUCACUCCCGAGAGCUCUUCUUUCCAUUGAACGGUGGAUUUCAUCAGUUCUCCGUUUUGGUCGUUUUGAGCUACGUUAUGAGGUUUUGGUAAACCAAUAUUUGUAUGAAGGGUUUUCAGAUAUUUGUGAGCUAUAUUUUACACUACCCCUUCUUAAGUUUUUGUUUGAACAUUAACAUACAGAAAGUCCAUGAUUUAAAAUUUUGCAAUUACACAGGAUUAUUU